rnacentral:rRNA from 1 species
AUUGAACGCUGGCGGCAGGCCUAACACAUGCAAGUCGAACGGUAACAGGAAGAAGCUUGCUUCUUUGCUGACGAGUGGCGGACGGGUGAGUAAUGUCUGGGAAACUGCCUGAUGGAGGGGGAUAACUACUGGAAACGGUAGCUAAUACCGCAUAACGUCGCAAGACCAAAGAGGGGGACCUUCGGGCCUCUUGCCAUCGGAUGUGCCCAGAUGGGAUUAGCUAGUAGGUGGGGUAACGGCUCACCUAGGCGACGAUCCCUAGCUGGUCUGAGAGGAUGACCAGCCACACUGGAACUGAGACACGGUCCAGACUCCUACGGGAGGCAGCAGUGGGGAAUAUUGCACAAUGGGCGCAAGCCUGAUGCAGCCAUGCCGCGUGUAUGAAGAAGGCCUUCGGGUUGUAAAGUACUUUCAGCGGGGAGGAAGGGAGUAAAGUUAAUACCUUUGCUCAUUGACGUUACCCGCAGAAGAAGCACCGGCUAACUCCGUGCCAGCAGCCGCGGUAAUACGGAGGGUGCAAGCGUUAAUCGGAAUUACUGGGCGUAAAGCGCACGCAGGCGGUUUGUUAAGUCAGAUGUGAAAUCCCCGGGCUCAACCUGGGAACUGCAUCUGAUACUGGCAAGCUUGAGUCUCGUAGAGGGGGGUAGAAUUCCAGGUGUAGCGGUGAAAAUGCGUAGAGAUCUGGAGGAAUACCGGUGGCGAAGGCGGCCCCCUGGACGAUGACUGACGCUCAGGUGCGAAAUCGUGGGGAGCAAACAGG